rnacentral:rRNA from 1 species
AGUGAACGCUGACGGUAGGCCUAACACAUGCAAGUCGAACGGCAGCACAGUAAGAGCUUGCUCUUACGGGUGGCGAGUGGCGGACGGGUGAGGAAUACAUCGGAAUCUACUUUUUCGUGGGGGAUAACGUAGGGAAACUUACGCUAAUACCGCAUACGACCUACGGGUGAAAGCAGGGGAUCUUCGGACCUUGCGCGAUUGAAUGAGCCGAUGUCGGAUUAGCUAGUUGGCGGGGUAAAGGCCCACCAAGGCGACGAUCCGUAGCUGGUCUGAGAGGAUGAUCAGCCACACUGGAACUGAGACACGGUCCAGACUCCUACGGGAGGCAGCAGUGGGGAAUAUUGGACAAAGGGCGAAAGCCUGAUCCAGCCAUACCGCGUGGGUGAAGAAGGCCUUCGGGUUGUAAAGCCCUUUUGUUGGGAAAGAAAAGCAGCAGGUUAAUACCCCGCUGUUCUGACGGUACCCAAAGAAUAAGCACCGGCUAACUUCGUG